ACGACCUUACUUGAACAGGAUUUGUUCUAUAGGGACGUACAUCUGUUUCCUUGAGUUCUUAGGAGACAGGAAUCCAAGUCUGGUUGAUGAACUACGGCCUCUGUGACCAGAGCGUGAGUAACAGCAUCGUCCUUCGGACCACUGGUGCGGUAGAGGAUCGUUUCCACCCAUUCCAUCUUUGGCUGGCUGGGAUGGUCACACGGCUGUCUGACAGACU